rnacentral:tRNA from 1 species
GCCUGCAUAGUGUAACAGUUAGCACAUUCGACGUGUAUUCGAGAGAUCCAGGUUCGAGUCCCGGCGAAGGCA